rnacentral:rRNA from 1 species
UACGAAGGGGGCUAGCGUUGCUCGGAAUCACUGGGCGUAAAGCGCACGUAGGCGGAUCUUUAAGUCAGGGGUGAAAUCCCAAGGCUCAACCUUGGAACUGCCUUUGAUACUGGGGAUCUCGAGUCCGGAAGAGGUUGGUGGAACUGCGAGUGGUAGAGGUGAAAUUCGUAGAUAUUCGCAAGAACACCAGUGGCGAAGGCGGCCAACUGGUCCGGUACUGACGCUGAGGUGCGAAAGCGU